AACAGACAUUGAUAAUAUUUGGACCUUUUAAUUUUGUUAAACGUUUUUUUUGGGAGGCAGAGCCUGAGCAGGGGGAGGGGCUGAGGGAGAGGGGGAAGCGGACUCCUGCUGAGCAGGAGCCCGAUGGGGGUGCUCAGUAGCAGGACCCUGAGAUCCUGACCUGAGCUGACGUCAGACGCUUAACCCGCUCCAGAAGCUUAUAAACGACAAUUUCUCAUUUUAUUCAGAAAGGAGACCUAUCAGAUGGGAUAUUAUCUCCAUCUAAAGGAUGAUACAGAAGCCCUGCGCUUUUCUCCCCUGGCUCGGGAGACGCCACCCAGGGCGCCACCGAUGUCCUCGAGCCCUCUGGGAAGUGAAGUCCUUCCGCCGGGACCCCCGACCCGGCGCGGUCGCCUCCAAGUGCGCAGAUGCGACUCCAGACGGAGCCUCGGGCUCGAGCCUUUUGUUUCGCCGGAGCUCCGCGGGCCCGGAAAGGGAGUCCGUCCGCCCCUCCCGUCUCUCCCAGAGCGCAGCCCCGCGGGGACCUGCCCUGUGGCCGGAGCGGAGUCCGCACUGUGUCCAGAAAGAGAGCUUCAGAGUAGAGUUGAAUGGUUUACACAAAGAAGCAGAUUAUGUGUUGCUGAGAAGCCCGUGUUUAUCUUUCAUCUGGAACUGUGACUAAAGAGGAAGUCAUAGCAGUAACAGGACAAAAAAGAGAAGCCCAUCAUGGAUUAUAUGACCAUUGAAGCUGAGGAAGAAGUCCUUCCAGCCAUUGCUACUGAGGAUGCUUCUCUGCCCCAAAAAGAGAACACAGAAGAAAUGGAACCUACUGUUGGACUCCUUCCUGUAGA